AACGAACGCUGGCGGCAUGCCUAACACAUGCAAGUCGAACGGUGGCUUCGGCCACAGUGGCGCACGGGUGAGUAACACGUGGGAACCUGCCUUUCGGUUCGGAAUAACGUCUGGAAACGGACGCUAACACCGGAUACGCCCAUCCAGCGAUGGUUGGGGAAAGUUUACGCCGAGAGAGGGGCCCGCGUCCGAUUAGGUAGUUGGUGAGGUAACGGCUCACCAAGCCGACGAUCGGUAGCUGGUCUGAGAGGAUGAUCAGCCACACUGGGACUGAGACACGGCCCAGACUCCUACGGGAGGCAGCAGUGGGGAAUAUUGGACAAUGGGCGCAAGCCUGAUCCAGCAAUGCCGCGUGAGUGAUGAAGGCCUUAGGGUUGUAAAGCUCUUUCGCACGUGACGAUGAUGACGGUAACGUGAGAAGAAGCCCCGGCUAACUUCGUGCCAGCCGCCGCCGUAA
rnacentral:rRNA from 1 species